rnacentral:lncRNA from 1 species
AACUUCCUUCUCGUGAAUUCAAAUGGGCGCAGUGGAAGUGAGGUGGCGCAGGGAGAAUGGGUCAAGGUGGUUUCAUUAUUUAAACCAACCUAAUUGAACCAAAUAAGUUAGGCGCAAUUAGACUAAUUUAAACUCAACUAAAUUAGCUUUAAUUAGGCUUAAUAAAAGCCUAAUCAAAUCAAGAAUUGAUUAAGCCCAACCCCUGAUCAAAUCAGGGAUCAAACCAUCUCGACGAUUAGGUCAACUCUUAACCUAAUCGGGUCAAACCCAACUGAAUCCAAUUCAAUUAGGCUUGAUCCAAAAAUAAUUACUCAAUCAAAUUGAGUUAAUUAGUGGUCAAAUCACUAAUUAAACCUCUCAUAAAUAUUGAGUCCAAAUCCGAUGGGUAAUCGGGUAUCAGAAUUCAUCGAUAUGUAACCCUGAUCGAAGAGUCCCAAACCAGUGGGACUCUUGACCCCGAUACCCAAAAUGUGUGGGACUCAUGAUCAGAGAAUCCUGAUUCUCGAUCAUAGAGUUUCAGACAUGUAGGACUCAUAGUUCACGAGCAUUAGGACUCUUCAUCAGCCAUCAGAUCAGAUAGGAACCUCUAAUGUGUGUGACCCCACAGGUUCGAACCUAAGCUGGUAGCAUAGGAACCAAUUCCUAUACUAAUCGAAGUGACCAUCU